rnacentral:rRNA from 1 species
UACGUAGGGGGCUAGCGUUGUCCGGAAUCAUUGGGCGUAAAGCGCGUGUAGGCGGUUCGGUAAGUCCGCUGUGAAAGUCCAGGGCUCAACCCUGGGAUGCCGGUGGAUACUGUCGAGCUCGAGUCCGGAAGAGGCGAGUGGAAUUCCUGGUGUAGCGGUGAAAUGCGCAGAUAUCAGGAGGAACACCAAUGGCGAAGGCAGCUCGCUGGGACGUGACUGACGCUGAGACGCGAAAGCGUGGGGAGCAAACAGG